rnacentral:rRNA from 1 species
CGGGUGAGUAAUGCCUAGGAAUCUGCCUGGUAGUGGGGGAUAACGUUCGGAAACGGACGCUAAUACCGCAUACGUCCUACGGGAGAAAGUGGGGGAUCUUCGGACCUCACGCUAUCAGAUGAGCCUAGGUCGGAUUAGCUUGUUGGUGAGGUAAUGGCUCACCAAGGCAACGAUCCGUAACUGGUCUGAGAGGAUGAUCAGUCACACUGGAACUGAGACACAGUCCAG